UACAGAGGUCUCAAGCGUUGUUCGGAUUCAUUGGGCGUAAAGGGUGCGUAGGUGGCGCCGUAAGUCGGGUGUGAAAUUUCGGAGCUUAACUCGGAAACUGCAUCGGAUACUAUCCGGCUUGAGGGUUGGAGGGGGGACUGGAAUACUUGGUGUAGCAGUGAAAUGCGUAGAUAUCAAGUGGAACACCAGUGGCGAAGGCGAGUCCCUGGACAACUCCUGACACUGAGGCACGAAAGCUAGGGGAGCAAACAGG
rnacentral:rRNA from 1 species